CCUAUUGUGGUAGGAGAGCCAUUCUGAGUAAACAGCAACUUCUUAAAUGAGUUACAGAUGCUGCUAUUAUAAAAUAGUUUGCAACAAAUUAUCUGUAACACCUUUCAGCCUUGGAAUUUCAGCCUGAUUCUGGUGUGGUUUAUGGAUAGACUAGAGCUGCUUGGCUGCUGAUUUGGAGAACACCUUUACACUUUCUGUUUAUUUUGCUGUGUUAUUGUUUUGUGCCAGAAAUGUUCUCAUGUGACCUCAAGCUAACAACUAGUUAUAAAUGGCUUCCCUGAUGAUGUUUUUGAUCAUAUACCCUAAGUAAUCUCCUAAGCAACUGCUCCCCUUCUCAAUUUCAUCCUCAUCAUAAUGACACAAACUGAUGCAUUAGUACUGUGGAGGCUAGCUUUUCAAUUUCAUAAAUGCAGAGCAACAUCCUGGGAGUGGCUUAAAAUACAGUCACGAUCAGGAAAAGGAUUUUGGGAAGCAAUAGCUCCAUGUUCUAUAUUAAUUCUGAAUUAUAAACAUAGCAGAAUAUACACAAGUCCAACUUUCCAGAUGUUUUUUUUUUUUAUCCUGGUAUUAACUGUCAGGAGAAAGCUCUACGAUAUUAACAGUCUCAAGUCUAUUGCUAAAUGUCAGCUUUUCCACAUAUUUUUUUUUUGUCACUUCAACAUUGCUGGCAUUCUUUUAAUUAAAAAAACCCCCAGUCUUUUAACAGUCAUGAUCCCAAGGAUCUGUAACUGUCAGGAUUAAUGGCUCCUGGUUUUUUUUUUUCCUGGGGGCCUGUCUGUGCCAGGAAUUGCCUUUCCACUAGUCACCUUUGCUUAAUUAAUCAUCCCCAAGUCAAAUUUGCUAGGCUUAUACAUUAAGGGCCCAAUCUUUUGUUAGCUGUUAUCCAAGGAAGUUGCAGCACUUUCUGGUUUAGCUCAGUGAGAAGGAUCAUGGGCCUCCAAAAACCAGUUUGGUUAUGCUUUUCCUCUUCCCUCCUGCCCAUCAUGGAAAGCCUAAAAGACUCUGAAGCUGCUGUGUAGUUUCAGGACAGCCCUGCAGCUGCUGCUGAGGGUCAGGUCAGCACUGCCCCAGCAGUGCUGGCUGCUGCCACCCAGCAGACUACAGGCUCAUCUCCUGCAUUCACCACGCUCUUCCCUUCUCUGUAGUUCAGUUACAACUGUCAUACUCGUAAGGCUUGUGCCUCAAGCUCUCUAGUCCUUUUCUGCAAGGUUUCGAAGCUUGUUUUUCUAGUGCUUGGUCACGGCAGUGUUUGUUUUACCACUUGAGUGGCAUCCUGUCUUGUGGACUAUUUCUAUGGCUGCCUUUCCUCAGUUGCUCUGCUGCUUGCUUUCUCCAGCACACCAGAAACUUCUGCUUAGCAGGAAACCUUCUUACUCUUCCAUAUUCCAAAAGCAGAAGGUAACUUCUGUCCCCUUUGGCCUUGCCCGACCAAUUUAUCUUUUCUUUGAUGAACGAGAAAACAUACAUAAUUUAUGAACCAUUCCCACGUGGCUUAACAACAUCCAGCCAAAAGAAUUUGUUCCUAUCUCCCUCUGACCACGAUAUCUGAAUCUGACAAAUGUAUAUAGAAAUGUCUCUGCAAGCAUAGGAGAAAUGUGGCAAGGCUCACCACUUCUCUGGGAGACUGCUGCAUGCCUGUUUCAGUUGGUGGCUAUUGGGUGUGAUAUUAAGGUGCUUGUACCUUCUUUGUUAUUUCUCUUUUGAAGCAUACAUAAUAGCUAUUAUUAACCAGCAGCAAUUGAAUCCUUGUCCUAGAAUAAUAACCCAUCAAUGAAACAGUUGUGGAAUGAGAACAGCAGUAUUUGUAAUGGCAGGGUGCAGCGAAUGCUGGCUAGCUUGUAGGUUGGCACAUACUCUACCUACUACCACAGACAUCUGAGGUCAAAAUGCUUCAAGAGCCAAGAGAAAUCUAUUAAUAUCGUUCUAAGUGCUGUGGCUAAAGUCCAGGUAAGGAGAGCAUCAGGAAGGUAUCUUUAGAGAAGCAAAAUUCUGUAUUUCCUAUCUAUAUUAUGACAACUAAUAAUCCACUUUAAUUGGUAGUCAUUAAAUGGUCACUGAAUCAGUAUCAGCAUGGUUUAUCUGCCGUGCAAGUAUCAGUAACUGUGUAUGUGAAAUCUGCCAAAACUGUGGUCUGCUUCGAAUGGAAUGCUUUCCAUUCAUAAACCUGCCACUUCUGUCACACUUUUCCCAUAUUGCUCAUUCUUUUUUCCUCUUCUCUCUCUUGUCUGUAGGAUUAUUCUUAGCUUCCUACUAAUUUUUAUUUCAAACAUACCAACUUUAAUCUAUCCAAUCUUUUAUUCUAAAUGAUCAACGUGAGAAAAAUUAUGACACAAAAUCUAGGGAAAAUGCUGCCUAAGUUUAAGAGAGAAGUCCAGUAAGCUCCUUUCUUUUGUAAUUAUUUAGUGUAUUUUCUGUUUAGUAUUUAUCAUAACGUUGGUCUUUAGGAUACAGGAGUCUAAGCUUUCCAGCUAAGAUGACAGGAGUAUUUGAUGGCACAUUCAUUUAUUCAAGCUGAUAAAGGCUUAUUCUUUGUUAGACUGCAAAGGAAAGACAUCAUGCAAUUUUUUUACCAUGCAUCUCAUAACAUUUUAGAUUCAAAUGGGACUUAUGUGGUUCAUGAAUUGCCCUUAAAUCAUCUACAUGCUGUCACUAAGCAUUUUCUUAACAGCUGUUCUUUCCUUUACUUAAUUACUUAUCAAAUGUCAAAAUGUGAUGGCUGAGUGAAAUGUCCCGUUAUCUGAACAAACCCUAACUUCAAAAUAAUUUUCUGUAGACAAACAAAAUGAAGUGCUACAUGAAAAAUCAUGAGGUGUUCUGACUGCACAAAAGCUUCAUUUUUAUGCCUGACUAAACCUGACAAUCAAAAAACAAGGGAGGGGAGCAGGGAGAAUUAAUAAAUGUGCACCCCCCCUAUCUAAUGGUUAUUAACAGGCUCAGGCUGGACCACAGCUGUUAAAGACCAAGUUGUGGGAUUUUUUUCUGGACAUGAAUAUGAAAGCCUUUUAUGGAAGAUUAUAACUCAAUAUUGGCUGGUGGAAGUUGUUGGGGUUUUUUUUAGAUGACUAUUUCAAAAUCUCCUCAGAUACAACAAAAUGUAUGUUUUCAUUUAAGAUGGAUCUGAAACUUCUGGAGAAGCUGGCAUGGCUGUAAUAACUGAUCAGCAUUACCUACAUCUGAUACGGCUAUAAAACUAUUAUUUGGGUUUGGUUUGGAACAGGAUUGAGGAUAGAAUUAUCUAUUCAAAAACAUAGUUCAGCUCAUUUCACAGUAAAACAAUAACGUAGCCAUUAGAAAGAAACAUAUAAAUGCAAAAAAAAUGCAUUACCUAAUAUGCUAAGGCUAUUUUAACAUGUGUUUUUUCUCUUCACAGAGGUGCUAUAUAUUUUCUUAGCAGCUGAGAUCCAAAUAUAACUAGGAAUGCCUUUUCUGAAUUGCUUUCGAUUGCUUCGAUUACAGAAAUCUCAAGUUUGGGCUUAAAAUGAGUGCCACAGUCUCCCUGGAGCUUUAAGAGGAACUGCAUUUGCUGAAAAGUGACCUCUUGCACCUGGGAUGGAAUAACCCCAUACAACUGUACCAGCCAACUGGGGGAAAGUAGUUCGGCAGGAAAGAACUUGGGGAUGCUGGUGGACAACAAUUGAGCACCAAUUAGCAGGGCACCUGUGCAGUGCUAAAUCUCAUACUGUGCUGCAUUAGGUAAUGCCUCACAGCAGACUGGCAGUAAUUAUUUCCUUCUAUUUUUUUAAUAUCUGGAGUGCUGUCACCAGUUUUGGGUUCCUCAGUGCCAAAAAGAUGAUGACAAACUGGAGAAGGACAGGUGUAGGGCCACUGAGAUGGCUAGGGGGACCAUGAUAUUACGAAAAGCUUGCGAGAGGAACAUUUAUUCAGCCUUUCCCCCUCCAGGCUAAGGAUGUAUUCAAUUGCUACCUUCAGCUACCUGAUAGGUGACUGGAAAAAAGACAGGACAAAACUUUUCUCAGAGGUGCUCAGUUGCAAUGGAUUAAGGUACAGCAGGGUUGUACCUUAACCUUGUUCUGGUUGAUUAGCUAUUUAGAAAAAAAUCCUCACAAGGAGUGUGCAGCAUCAGAACACUGGCUCUGUGGAGAAUAGCCACCCUUGGAAAUAAUCAAAGCUCAGCUAGACACAGCCCUGAGCUACCUAUAUCAAAUACAGAUAUUUGAAGGUGGCCCUGCUGUGAGCAAGACGACCUCUGGAGGAAAGGUCCUUUCUCACCUAAAUUCUUCUAUAAUUCUAAUGUGCCCCAUGACAUGCGCGCUAAGAUAUUAAGAGCACUUAAUAUAUCAUCACUGGUGUCAGGUAUCAUCAACACUUUCAUCAGCUGGAACACUGCCGAGCUGACUCAAAUACUGUACAUCUUGUCUAACUGCAAUUAAAAAGGCACAUGGCAGUUUCUGUGUAUCUUAAUUAGCCUUGUACCAUACACACUGACAUUCAAAAUUAGCUGACUUGGGGGGUCCGUUACCCACUCAAUUCAGAGUUUACACGGAGCUUGCCUGUUUUGUUGUAAAUCUUACUAAGGCUCACAAAAUAAGGCCCUCCUUCAGAGUCACAUUAACCACGGUCUGGGUUUCGAGGGAUCAAAGCAAAACUCACGUAGUACAAACCUAAUGAAUCAAACCCUACAAGAUUAAUGUUCCUGCAUAAAGCAGCAAACCUCACAUAAGAGCUCCACAGACCUGCCUCUUAUUUUAUUGCUCUGCUCUUGGGAUGUAAGAGGAGCAGCAGGGCAGUGACGUCUCUCCCACAUUGGUAUCUAUUAUUGUAAUGCUAAGUGCUAGCUCCUGUCACCCCCGUAAUCCUGUUUGGGAAGCUCUGCUACAGCAUUUAUGUUCUUAUCUUUGUUUAGUCAAUGCUGGCAAAUAAAAGCAUAAACAAAUAA